UACGGGGGGGCAAGGCGUUGUUCGGAAUUACUGGGCGUAAAGGGCUCGUAGGCGGCCAACUAAGUCAUACGUGAAUCCCAGGCUCACCUGGGAACUGCGUCUGAUACUGGUUGGCUUGAAUCCGGAGAGGGAUGCAGAAUUCCAGGUGUGAGCGGUGAAAUGCGUAGAUAUCUGGAGGAAUACCGGUGGCGAAGGCGGCAUCCUGGACCGGCAUUGACGCUGAGGAGCGAAAGCCAGGGAGCAACGGG
rnacentral:rRNA from 1 species